UACGAGGGGGGCAAGCGUUGUUCGGAUUUACUGGGCGUAACGGGCGCGUAGGCGGCCACCGCAAGUCGACUGUGAAAUCUCCGGGCUUAACCCGGAAAGGUCAGCCGAUACUGCGGGGCUAGAGUGCAGAAGGGGCAACUGGAAUUCUCGGUGUAGCGGUGAAAUGCGUAGAUAUCGAGAGGAACACCUGCGGCGAAGGCGGGUUGCUGGGCUGACACUGACGCUGAUGCGCGAAAGCUAGGGGAGCGAACGGG
rnacentral:rRNA from 1 species